rnacentral:misc_RNA from 1 species
AAGUCGUAACAAGGUCUCCGUUGGUGAACCAGCGGAGGGAUCAUUACAGAGUUGCAAAACUCCCACAAACCAUCGCGAAUCUUACCCGUACGGUUGCCUCGGCGCUGGCGGUCCGGAAGGCCCUCGGGCCCCCCGGAUCCUCGGGUCUCCCGCUCGCGGGAGGCUGUCCGCCGGAGUGCCGAAACCAAACUCUUGAUAUUUUAUGUCUCUCUGAGUAAACUUUUAAAUAAGUCAAAACUUUCAACAACGGAUCUCUUGGUUCUG